rnacentral:rRNA from 1 species
CUACGGGUGGCAGCAGUGAGGAAUAUUGCACAAUGGGGGGAACCCUGAUGCAGCAACGCCGCGUGGAGGAUGACGCAUUUCGGUGUGUAAACUCCUUUUAUAUGUCGAGAAAAUGACGGUAGCAUAUGAAUAAGCACCGGCUAACUCCGUGCCAGCAGCCGCGGUAAUACGGAGGGUGCAAGCGUUACUCGGAAUCACUGGGCGUAAAGGACGCGUAGGCGGGUUGGAAAGUCAGGUGUGAAAUCCUACAGCUUAACUGUAGAACUGCACUUGAAACUUCUAAUCUAGAGUAUGGGAGGGGGAGAUGGAAUUAGUGGUGUAGGGGUAAUAUCCGUAGAUAUCACUAGGAAUACCUAAAGCGAAGGCGAUCUCCUGGAACAUUACUGACGCUAAGGCGUGAAAGCGUGGGGAGCAAACAGGAUUAGAUACCCCUGUAGUC